rnacentral:lncRNA from 1 species
AUGUCCCCACUGAUGUCCCCAAUGCCCCCAAUGGUGUCCCCAAUGCCCCCAAUGAUGUCCCCAAUGCCCUCAAUGUCCCCACUGAUGUCCCCAAUGCCCCCAAUGAUGUCCCCAAUGUCCCCACUGAUGUCCCCAAUGGUGUCCCCAUGGGGUGUCCUUAAGGAGUGUCCCCACUGCUGUCCCCAAUGGGGUUCCCCACUGAUAUCCCCAAUGCCCCAAUGAUGUCCCCAAUGUCCCCAAUGCCCCCACUGAUGUCCCCACUGACGUCCCCAAUGUUGUCCCCAAUGCUGAUGACGUCACCAAACUGAUGUCCCCACUGAUGUCCCCAAUGCUGUCCCCAUAGGGUGUCCUUAAGGAGUGUCCCCACUGAUGUCCCCAAAGGAUGAGCCCACAGGGGGUCCCCAAUGACGUCACCAAUGACGUCACCGAGCUGACCCCCCCCCCCUUCGGUGUCCCCAUCGCUGUGUUCCAACCCCCCCCCCCCGGGGAGGGACACCAAUGUGUGACAGAGUCACGUGACACCGCCGGGGGGGACACCAAUGUGUGACAGAGUCACGUGACACCACCGGGGGGGGGGGGGGGGGGGGGCCCGGCACUGUGACAACGUCACGUGACACCGCCGGGGACACCGAUGUGUGAUAACGUCACGUGACACCGCCCGGGAACAGCGCUGUGACAGCGUCACGUGACACCGCCGGGGCACACGGAUGCCUGAUGAGGUCACGUGACACCACCGGGUUUUUUGGGGGGGGGGGGGGGGGGGCGGCACUGUGACAACGUCACGUGACACCGCCGGGGACACCGAUGUGCGAUGAGGUCACGUGAUACCGCCGGGGACACCAAUAUGCGAUGAGGUCACGUGACACCACCGGGUUUGGGGGGUGGGGGCUGUGACAGCGUCACGUGAUACCGCCGGGGACACCAAUAUGCGAUGAGGUCACGUGACACCACCGAAGGGGGGGGCGCUGUGACAGCGUCACGUGACUCCGCCGGGGACAUCAAUGUGUGAUGAGGUCACGUGACACCGCCGGGGGACACCAAUGUGUCACCUCCGGACGUCGCUGUGCCCCAUAGCGCUGUCACUGUGCCCCAUAGCGCUGUCACUGAGCCCCAUAGCGCUGCCACUGUGCCCCAUAGCGCUGUCACUGCGCCCCAUAGCGCCGCCACUGCGCCCCAUAGAGCCAUCCCUGUGCCCCAUAGCGCCAUCCCUGUGCCCCAUAGCGCCGGCACUGUGCCCCAUAGCGCUGCCACUGUGCCCCAUAGCGCUGGCACUGCGCCCCAUAGCGCUGCCACUGUGCCCCAUAGCACCACCGCUGUGCCCCAUAGAGCCAUCCCUGUGCCCCAUAGCACUGCCACUGCGCCCCAUAGCGCCGCCACUGUGCCCCAUAGAGCCAUCCCUGUGCCCCAUAGCGCUGCCGCUGUGCCCCAUAGAGCCAUCCCUGUGCCCCAUAGCGCUGUCCCUGUGCCCCAUAGAGCCAUCCCUGGGCCCCAUAGCGAGACCCCUGUGCCCCAUAGCGCUGUCACUGUGCCCCAUAGCGCUGCCACUGUGCCCCAUAGAGCCACCGCUGUGCCCCAUAGCGCUGCCACUGCGCCCCAUAGCACCACCGCUGUGCCCCAUAGAGCCAUCACUGUGCCCCAUAGUGCUGUCACUGCGCCCCAUAGUGCUGCCACUGUGCCCCAUAGCGCUGCCACUGUGCCCCAUAGCACCACCGCUGUGCCCCAUAGAGCCAUCCCUGUGCCCCAUAGCGCCGUCACUGUGCCCCAUAGCGCUGCCACUGUGCCCCAUAGCGCCGCCACUGUGCCCCAUAGCGCUGCCACUGUGCCCCAUAGCGCUGCCACUGUGCCCCAUAGCACCACCGCUGUGCCCCAUAGAGCCAUCCCUGUGCCCCAUAGAGCCACCGCUGUGCCCCAUAGAGCCAUCCCUGUGCCCCAUAGCACUGCCACUGCUCCCCAUAGCGCUGCCACUGUGCCCCAUAGAGCCAUCCCUGUGCCCCAUAGCGCCACCACUGGGCCCCAUAGUGCCACCAUUCUGCCCUACAGAGCCACCCCUGUGCCCCAUAGCACUGUCACUGCGCCCCAUAGCACUUUCACUGCGCCUCAUAGAGCCAUCCCUGUGCCCCAUAGCACUGCCACUGCGCCCCAUAGCGCCGCCACUGUGCCCCAUAGAGCCAUCCCUGUGCCCCAUAGCGCUGCCACUGUGCCCCAUAGAGCCAUCCCUGUGCCCCAUAGCGCUGCCGCUGUGCCCCAUAGAGCCAUCCCUGUGCCCCAUAGCGCUGUCCCUGUGCCCCAUAGAGCCAUCCCUGGGCCCCAUAGCGAGACCCCUGUGCCCUAUAGCGCUGUCACUGUGCCCCAUAGCGCUGCCACUGUGCCCCAUAGAGCCACCGCUGUGCCCCAUAGAGCCACCGCUGUGCCCCAUAGCGCUGCCACUGCGCCCCAUAGCACCACCGCUGUGCCCCAUAGCACCACCGCUGUGCCCCAUAGUGCUGUCACUGCGCCCCAUAGUGCUGCCACUGUGCCCCAUAGCGCUGCCACUGUGCCCCAUAGAGCCAUCCCUGUGCCCCAUAGCGCCGUCACUGUGCCCCAUAGCGCCGCCACUGCGCCCCAUAGCGCUGCCACUGUGCCCCAUAGCACCACCGCUGUGCCCCAUAGAGCCAUCCCUGUGCCCCAUAGCGCUGUCUCUGCGCCCCAUAGCACCACCGCUGUGCCCCAUAGCACCACCGCUGUGCCCCAUAGUGCUGUCACUGCGCCCCAUAGUGCUGCCACUGUGCCCCAUAGCGCUGCCACUGUGCCCCAUAGAGCCAUCCCUGUGCCCCAUAGCGCCGUCACUGUGCCCCAUAGCGCCAUCCCUGUGCCCCAUAGAACCACCGCUGUGCCCCAUAGCGCUGCCACUGCGCCCCAUAGCACCACCGCUGUGCCCCAUAGAGCCAUCCCUGUGCCCCAUAGUGCUGUCACUGCGCCCCAUAGUGCUGCCACUGUGCCCCAUAGCGCUGCCACUGUGCCCCAUAGCACCACCGCUGUGCCCCACAGAGCCAUCCCUGUGCCCCAUAGCGCCGUCACUGUGCCCCAUAGCGCUGCCACUGUGCCCCAUAGCACCACCGCUGUGCCCCAUAGAGCCAUCCCUGUGCCCCAUAGCGCUGUCUCUGCGCCCCAUAGCGCCGCCACUGUGCCCCAUAGCGGCUUCCCUGUGCCCCAUAGAACCACCGCUGUGCCCCAUAGCGCUGCCACUGUGCCCCAUAGUGCCACCAUUCUGUCCCACAGCGCCAUCCCUGUGCCCCAUAGCGCAGCCACUGUGGCCCAUAGCGCCAUCCCUGUGCCCCAUAGCGCUGCCACUGUGCCCCACAGAACCACUGCUGUGCCCCACAGAGCCAUCCCUGUGCCCCAUAGAGCCAUCCCUGUGCCCCAUAGCGCUGUCACUGUGCCCCAUAGAACCACCGCUGUGCCCCAUAGAGCCAUCCCUGGGCCCCACAGUGCCAUCCUUCUGCCCCACAGAGCCACCCCUGUGCCCCAUAGCGCUGUCACUGCGCCCCAUAGUGCUGCCACUGUGCCCCAUAGCGCUGCCACUGUGCCCCAUAGCACCACCGCUGUGCCCCACAGAGCCAUCCCUGUGCCCCAUAGCGCCGUCACUGUGCCCCAUAGCGCUGCCACUGUGCCCCAUAGCACCACCGCUGUGCCCCAUAGAGCCAUCCCUGUGCCCCAUAGCGCUGUCUCUGCGCCCCAUAGCGCCGCCACUGUGCCCCAUAGCGGCUUCCCUGUGCCCCAUAGAACCACCGCUGUGCCCCAUAGCGCUGCCACUGUGCCCCAUAGUGCCACCAUUCUGUCCCACAGCGCCAUCCCUGUGCCCCAUAGCGCAGCCACUGUGGCCCAUAGCGCCAUCCCUGUGCCCCAUAGCGCUGCCACUGUGCCCCACAGAACCACUGCUGUGCCCCACAGAGCCAUCCCUGUGCCCCAUAGAGCCAUCCCUGUGCCCCAUAGCGCUGUCACUGUGCCCCAUAGAACCACCGCUGUGCCCCAUAGAGCCAUCCCUGGGCCCCACAGUGCCAUCCUUCUGCCCCACAGAGCCACCCCUGUGCCCCAUAGCGCUGUCACUGCGCCCCAUAGUGCUGCCACUGUGCCCCAUAGCGCUGCCACUGUGCCCCACAGCGCCAUCCCUGUGCCCCACAGCGCUGUGCCCCACAGCAUCACACCCCACAGCGCUGUCCAUGUGCCCCAUAGCGCUGUCCAUGUGCCCCACAGCGCUGUGCCCCACAGCGCUGUGCCCCACAGCAUCACCCCCCAUAGCGCUCUCCAUGUGCCCCACAGCACUGCACCCCACACCCCAUAGCACCGUGUGCCCCACAGCACCAUCCUUGUGCCCCACAGCGCUGUGCCCCACAGCAUCACACCCCAUAGCGCUGUCCAUGUGUCCCACAGCACUGUGCCCCACAGCAUCACCCCCCAUAGCACUCUCCAUGUGCCCCAUAACGCUGUCCAUGUGCCCCACAGCGCUGUGCCCCACACCCCAUAGCACCGUCUGCCCCACAGCACCGCACCCCAUAGCACCGUGUGCCCCACAGCACCAUCCUUGAGCCCCACAGCGCUGUGCCCCACAGCAUCACACCCCAUAGCGCUGUCCAUGUGCCCCAUAGCGCCGUCCAUGUGCCCCAUAGCGCCCACCCCACACCUCACAGGGCCAUCCCUGUGCCCCACAGCGCUCUGCCCCACAGCACUGCACCCCACAGCGCCAUCCAUGUGCCCCACAGCGCUGUGCCCCACAGCACUGUGCCCCACAGCACUGUCCAUGUGCCCCAUAGAGGUGUGUGCCCCACAGCAUCACCCCCCAAUAGCGCUCUCCAUGUGCCCCACAGCGCUGUGCCCCACAGCAUCACACCCAUAGCGCCGUCCAUGUGCCCCACAGCGCUGUGCCCCACAGCGCCGCACCCCAUAGAGCUGUCCAUAGAGCUGUGCCCCACAGCACUGCACCCCACAGCACCGCACCCCAUAGAACUGUGUGCCCCACAGCACCGCACCCCAUAGAGCUGCCCACAGAGCUCUUUGCCCCACAGCACCACACCCCCCAUCAUCACACCCCAUAGAGCCGUCCAUAGCACUGUGUGCCCCACAGCACCGCACCCCACAGCAUCACACCCCAUAGAGCGGUCCAUAGAGCUGUGUGCCCCACAGCACUGCACCCCACAGCACCGCACCCCAAAGCAGUGCACCCCAUAGAGCUGUCCAAUUGCCCCACAGCACCGCACCCCAUAGAGCUGUCCAUAGAGCUGUGUGCCCCACAGCACCGCACCCCACAGCACUGUGUGCCCCACAGCACCGCACCCCAUAGCGCUGUGUGCCCCACAGCACUGCACCCCACAGCAUCACACCCCACAGCACUGCACCCCAUAGAGCUGUCCAUAGAGCUGUGCCCCACACCAUCGCACCCCACAGCACUGUGUGCCCCACAACACCGCACCCCACAGCACCGCACCCCAUAGAGCCGUCCAUAGAGCUGUGUGCCCCACAGCACCGUACCCCACAGCACUGUGUGCCCCACAGCACCGCAGCCCAUAGAGCCGUCCAUAGAGCUGUGUGCCCCACAGCGCUGUGUGCCCCACAGCACCGCACCCCACAGCACUGCACCCCAUAGAAGUGUCCAUAGAGCUGUGUGCCCCACAGCAUCGCACCCCAUAGAGCUGUCCAUGUGCCCCACAGCACCGCACCUCACAGCGCUGUGUGCCCCACAGCACCGCACCCCACAUCAUCACACCCCAUAGAGCCGUCCAUAGCACUGUGUGCCCCACAGCACCGCACCCCACAGCACUGCACCCCAUAACACUGCCCACAGUGCUGUGUGCCCCACAGCACUGCACCCCACAGCACUUCACCCCACAGCACUGCACCCCACAGCGCUGUGUGCCCCACAGCACUGCACCCCACAGCACUGCACCCCACAGCACUGCACCCCAUAGCGCUGUGUGCCCCACAGCACCGCACCCCACAGCACCGCACCCCACAGCACCGCACCCCACAGCACCGCACCCCACAGUGCUUUCUAUGCGCCCCACAGCACCGCACCCCACAGCACCGCACCCCAUAGAGCCGUCCAUAGAGCUGUGUGCCCCACAGCACCGCACCCCAUAGAGCUGUGUGCCCCACAGCACUGCACCCCACAGCACCACACCCCACAACACCGCACCCCAUAGAGCUGUGUGCCCCACAGCACUGCACCCCACAGCACCACACCCCACAACACCGCACCCCAUAGAGCUGUGUGCCCCACAGCACCGCACCCCACAGCACUGUGUGCCCCACAGCACCUCACCCCACAGCACCGCACCCCACAUCACUGUCCAUGUGCCCCACAGCAGUGCACCCCACAGCACUGUGUGCCCCACAGCACCGUACCCCACAGCACCGCACCCCACAGCGCUGUGUGCCCCACAGCACCGCACCCCACAUCAUCACACCCCAUAGAGCGGUCCAUAGAGCUGUAUGCCCCACAGCACCGCACCCCACAGCACUGCACCCCACAGUGCUCUGUGCCCCACAGCACUGCACCCCACAGCAGCGCACCCCACAGCACUGCACCCCAUAGAGCUGUGUGCCCCACAGCAUCGCACCCCACAUCAUCACACCCCAUAGAGCUGUCCAUAGCACUGUGUGCCCCACAGCACCGCACCCCACAGCACCGCACCCCACAGUGCUUUCUAUGCGCCCCACAGCAUCGCACCCCACAACACUGCACCCCACAGCACCGCACCCCACAGCGCUCUGUGCCCCACAGCACCGCACCCCACAUCAUCACACCCCAUAGAGCGGUCCAUAGAGCUGUAUGCCCCACAGCACCGCACCCCACAGCACUGCACCCCACAGUGCUCUGUGCCCCACAGCACUGCACCCCACAGCAGCGCACCCCACAGCACUGCACCCCAUAGAGCUGUGUGCCCCACAGCAUCGCACCCCACAUCAUCACACCCCAUAGAGCUGUCCAUAGCACUGUGUGCCCCACAGCACCGCACCCCACAGCACCGCACCCCACAGUGCUUUCUAUGCGCCCCACAGCACCGCACCCCACAGCGCUGUGUGCCCCACAGCAUCGCACCCCACAGCAUCGCAACCCACAGCAGUGCACCCCACAGCACUGUCCAUGUGCCCCACAGCACCGCGCCCCACAGCACUGUGUGCCCCACAGCAGCGCCCCCCCAUCACCAUCCACACCCCCCCCAUCGGCGCCCCCAUCGCCCCCCACAUCGCCCC